AAAAUGGCACAUUGAAAGGUCAUAUGCAACUUCCUAUAAGUCAAUAAUACAAAGUUAGUCGAUAUCUGUCUUAGUUUUCAACAUAGAAGCUGUUUUCUGAAUAUGCAAAUGAGGCGCUUGACCCCAGCUUUGGCUUAUAUCGCAGCUGUACUUUGGUCCGCUAUUGCCAAAAACUAAUCAAGUCGACUAGAGACCAUGGCAAAUCAUUUGGUCAUGGUUUGAUUUCAAUAAUGCUUGA